UACGUAGGGUGCAAGCGUUGUCCGGAAUUAUUGGGCGUAAAGAGCUCGUAGGCGGUUUGUCGCGUCUGCUGUGAAAACCCGAGGCUCAACCUCGGGCCUGCAGUGGGUACGGGCAGACUAGAGUGCGGUAGGGGAGAUUGGAAUUCCUGGUGUAGCGGUGGAAUGCGCAGAUAUCAGGAGGAACACCAAUGGCGAAGGCAGAUCUCUGGGCCGUAACUGACGCUGAGGAGCGAAAGCGUGGGGGAGCGAAACAGG
rnacentral:rRNA from 1 species